rnacentral:misc_RNA from 1 species
GGAGCAAUUCUAACACAAUAGACAGGGAAUCCUGUGUAGAAUUUGAAUGGUCCUCCCGACUUGAGAGUCUUCAUGGCACAGUCUAAAGAACCAGUGUAGGGAUACUUUCCCUCAGCAUCAGGUUGCAUUUUCUGAAUUUGAGUUUUAACAUAAUCAAAAGGAAGACUGCAGGCUGAAGCAAAGAACCCUGAAACGGAACUUGCACCUAGCACCGUAGCAGCUUCACCAAAACCAAGGGAAUCCCUGAAAAACUCAACACUUUGAUCAUAAGAAGCAAGCAUCCCCAUGUUCAAUGCCAUUGCUCUCACAACUGUAGGGCCUGCACCUUUCCAGAGUGCCAAAACUCCUUCAUCUGCAACAAUACGAUAAAGUGCAUGGAAGGCAUUUGUGUAAUUUCGGCGCUGAGCAGCAGGCAAAGUGGCAUCAGCCUGCAUGCGGAUAAGUGCCAAAUCUGCUGGACUGCCAACGGAUGCUCCAAUAGCACCAGCAGUUAGCCCACACAAGGCCUUCUGAUAUAGAGGAAGGGGCUUCCCAUCAUUGGCUUCAAUUGCUUUAUUGGUCAAAAUCUUGAAUGAUCCAAGUCG